rnacentral:rRNA from 1 species
GACGAACGCUGACGGCGUGCUUAACACAUGCAAGUCGAACGGUGAAGCGCCUUCCUUUUUGGUGGGUGUGGAUGAGUGGCGAACGGGUGAGUAACACGUGAGUAACCUGCCCCCUUCUUCUGGAUAACCGCAUGAAAGUGUGGCUAAUACGGGAUAUUCUGGGUCUGUCGCAUGAUGGGUCUGGGAAAGAUAUUGUUUCGGUGGGGGAUGGGCUCGCGGCCUAUCAGCUUGUUGGUGGGGUGAUGGCCUACCAAGGCGGUGACGGGUAGCCGGCCUGAGAGGGUGGACGGUCACACUGGGACUGAGACACGGCCCAGACUCCUACGGGAGGCAGCAGUGGGGAAUAUUGCACAAUGGGCGCAAGCCUGAUGCAGCGACGCCGCGUGAGGGAUGGAGGCCUUCGGGUUGUGAACCUCUUUCGCCAGUGAAGCAGGCCUGCCUCGUUUGUGGGUGGGUUGACGGUAGCUGGAGAAGAAGCGCCGGCUAACUACGUG